GAUGUUUGAAUUUUGACAGGUCGUGUCGCGGGAUACAAGAGUGUAUUUUACUUACAAUGAGAUAUAAUUAUCCGACACGUAUAUAGAGAUAUAUUAAUAUAUUUUUUUAAUUUAGUAUGAAUCGAAACACUGAAUCUGAAUCGUUUAAUUUGACUUCUAACAACGACAGAGAAACGAUCACAUGUUGAUUAUAAUUAGAUCGAUCAGAAACCGGUUUAAAAAACAAUAAAGUCUUCUUCGAACCAUUUGCUAAUGAUUAGAUGGCGAAAGUUCUAUAUUGACGGGGAUAUCUGCGGCACGAAUAGUUAAUUAGUCGUCGCUGCGAUUACAGCAUCGCGUGCACGUCAAUAUAAUAUAAUUUCUCUGUGUGGCUUAAGGCGUGAUUAAUCGACUGUCCCUUUCUAUGGCACUAUCUCUGAAGAGAAUUUGAAGCUGUGUACGUGCUCCGUGUACUUAAAAAGCAAUUGACAAUUGUCGACGCUCGCCUUAAUUCCGGCAGAAUGAGAGAGAGAGAGA